rnacentral:rRNA from 1 species
AGUGAACGCUGGCGGUAGGCCUAACACAUGCAAGUCGAACGGCAGCACAGUAAGAGCUUGCUCUUACGGGUGGCGAGUGGCGGACGGGUGAGGAAUACAUCGGAAUCUACCUUUUUGUGGGGGAUAACGUAGGGAAACUUACGCUAAUACCGCAUACGACCUACGGGUGAAAGCAGGGGAUCUUCGGACCUUGCGCGAUUGAAUGAGCCGAUGUCGGAUUAGCUAGUUGGCGGGGUAAAGGCCCACCAAGGCGACGAUCCGUAGCUGGUCUGAGAGGAUGAUCAGCCACACUGGAACUGAGACACGGUCCAGACUCCUACGGGAGGCAGCAGUGGGGAAUAUUGGACAAUGGGCGCAAGCCUGAUCCAGCCAUACCGCGUGGGUGGAGAAGGCCUUCGGGUUGUAAAGCCCUUUUGUUGGGAAAGAAAAGCAGCAGGUUAAUACCCCGCUGUUCUGACGGUACCCAAAGAAUAAGCACCGGCUAACUUCGUG